GGACAUUGUUCUCUGUUCACUGAUCCUUUUCAUGCUUUGUGGACGCCAUCUGCUCCACAUUUCCAAAGUUCCGACCGGGUUUGCGGCGAGCCCGGCACGAGGAGGGAAGAAGGAAAAGGAGGAGAUGGCGAACGGACAUGUCUGGGAGGAAGAGUGCUUCUCGUGGUGGACGGCGGGGUGAAGCUUGAAUAUGAACAAACUUCAUUGUUGGGAGCAGAUCUUUGCUCCGGGCCUUCACCCCCCCUUUUAUGCACUGUUUGAAUGCGGUUGCCGGGGGAACAGCAGCGGAAGAAAAAAAUGCACCCCCUUCCAAAAAAAAAAAAAGGGAGGAAGGCGGGAAGUGAGGCGGACAAAAAAAGAAGCAAAAAGUUUUUCUGACAAUGUGGAUACAUAAAGUCUGCAAUCUUCACCGGCAAUAAAGGUGUUAACAAAUUA